UACGUAGGGUGCGAGCGUUAAUCGGAAUUACUGGGCGUAAAGCGUGCGCAGGCGGUUCGCUAAGACAGGCGUGAAAUCCUCGGGCUCAACCUGAGAACUGCGCUUGUGACUGGCAAACUAGAGUACGUCAGAGGGGGGUGGAAUUCCACGUGUAGCAGUGAAAUGCGUAGAGAUGUGGAGGAACACCGAUGGCGAAGGCAGCCCCCUGGGAUGAUACUGACGCUCAUGCACGAAAGCGUGGGGAGCAAACAGG
rnacentral:rRNA from 1 species